UGCUGCGUAACUUAGUUGGUAAAGCACUCGUAUAGCAUACAAGAGUCCUGGGUUUUAGUCCCAGCUGAUCAC
rnacentral:tRNA from 1 species